UACAGCUCUUUUGCUCCCACAGUUCAGCAAAUUCUGAGUUCCUGUCCCAUGACCAAGAGGAAUGAGGAACAUGGACACCGGAGAAUGAGUAAGGCAGAGUAGAAUUUUAUUCAUCAGCGAGAGGGGACCUGAAAGCAGGUCGCCAUCUGUGAGGAUUAAAGUUAGGACCAAAUGCUGCUCAGAAAUUGUUUUAAUCUCAAAAGUAGUUGGCAAGUUUUCAGAGUUCAUUUUCAAGGCCUGGUGUAUGCAUUGGUUACAUGAAAACCGUGUGACAACCUUGGAAGUCUGAAAGAGCAGGAGAGAGGCUAAGCACACACAUAUUGUGAUUUUAAGAGUCUCAAGGGCUGACACAAGCUGAGAUGAGGAAAUAUGACCUCCUACACGUGUUUUCCAUGAGGAAUAUGUUUGCUGUGCAGUCACUGAGUUAAAAGCAACCUUCAUUCCCUUGUGCACCAAGGUAGUGCCUCUCCAGAGCUGUAGAUGUCUUCCCAGGAUAUUCCAUCAUUCUACACAGCAUUUAAUUCUUGGAGCUCACAGUCCAAGACUGUUAUCAGUCCAUUUUCACUCUAUUGAUCAAGACAUACUCAAGACUGGGUAAUUUAUAAAGAAAAUGAAUGGACUCACAGUUUCACGUUGCUGGGGAGGCCUCACAGUCCAGGCAAUCACAGUCUUACAUGGCAGCAAGCAAGAGCGAAUGAGAACCAAGCAAAAGGGAAACUCAUUAUAAAACCAUCAGCUAUUGUGAGACUUCUUCACUACCACAAGAAUAGUAUGGGGUAAACCUCCCCCAUGAUUCAAUUAUCUCCCACCAGGUUCCUCCCAGAGCACGUGGGAAUUAUGGGAGCUACAAUUCAAGAUGAGAUUUGGGUAGGUACACAGCCAAACUAUAUCAGUGACUCAUCUAGAAUUUUAUUCAUAUAGGUUUAAACAAUGGUUAACAUGUACAGUUAUAAGAUCAUUCUCAUUUACAAAUUUAAUGUUUA
rnacentral:lncRNA from 10 species